CUACGGGAGGCUCCAGUGGGGAAUUUUGGACAAUGGGGGCAACCCUGAUCCAGCCAUGCCGCGUGAGUGAAGGAGGCCUUCGGGUUGUAAAGCUCUUUCAGCCGGGAAGAAAUCGCAUGGGUUAAUACCCUGUGCGGAUGACGGUACCGGAAUAAGAAGCACCGGCUAACUACGUGCCAGCAGCCGCGGUAAUACGUAGGGUGCGAGCGUUAAUCGGAAUUACUGGGCGUAAAGCGUGCGCAGGCGGAUGCUUAAGUCAGAUGUGAAAUCCCCGGGCUUAACCUGGGAAUUGCAUUUGAAACUGGGUGUCUAGAGUGCGUCAGAGGGGGGUGGAAUUCCACGUGUAGCAGUGAAAUGCGUAGAUAUGUGGAGGAACACCAAUGGCGAAGGCAGCCCCCUGGGAUGACACUGACGCUCAUGCACGAAAGCGUGGGGAGCAAACAGGAUUAGAUACCCUGGUAGUC
rnacentral:rRNA from 1 species